UACGUAGGGGGCAAGCGUUGUCCGGAUUUAUUGGGCGUAAAGAGCGUGUAGGCGGCUUUACAGGUCCGUUGUGAAAACCCGAGGCUCAACCUCGGGACGUCGGCGGAAACCAUCUGGCUAGAGUCCGGAAGAGGAGAGUGGAAUUCCCGGUGUAGCGGUGAAAUGCGCAGAUAUCGGGAAGAACACCCGUGGCGAAGGCGGCUCUCUGGGACGGUACUGACGCUGAGACGCGAAAGCGUGGGGAGCGAACAGG
rnacentral:rRNA from 1 species